UCCUACGGGAGGCAGCAGUAGGGAAUAUUGCUCAAUGGGGGAAACCCUGAAGCAGCAACGCCGCGUGGAGGAUGAAGGUUUUCGGAUUGUAAACUCCUUUUGUUAGAGAAGAUUAUGACGGUAUCUAACGAAUAAGCACCGGCUAACUCCGUGCCAGCAGCCGCGGUAAUA
rnacentral:rRNA from 1 species